AAUCAACUGCAUGCAACUUCAUUAUCAUAGGCAAGGAAACAGACCAGAAGAGAGAGACUGCCCAUGUGUAUCUUUACAUGAAGUAUUUAUUAUGAACACAACUGAUGUUCACCUAGUAAACACCAAUAAAAUCUGAAGUCAUUGUUAAAGAAAUUUAAAACAAACAGCACUAUACUAAUAUUAUAAGCAAACAUGGUUAGAAUAAUUUUACUUUUUCCAUCUAUGCUUCCCCCCAAAUUAUGCUGUUUUUCAAUUUCAGUAAUAGCCAAACUCCCAAAAUCAUAGAUGUUUAAAGAGCUCAUAAAAUAAUGUAUGCUCUUAUUUCCCAACCAGUCAAUUAGCAAAUUAUGGCAUAACACCAUAAUUUAAUUAAUUUAGGUCUAAGUUAUCCCACUGCUUGGGGCUUUCUGGUCAAAUUCUUAAGUUUCACAUUGUAUACCAAAGGAAGAUGACUAAAGACAAUGUAAAUGGAUUCAUGGUUGUCACAUAGUACAUAUUCCAGUUUAAUCUUUGCCAAACCGCCCUGAAAUAAAAUUCUUUCUUGUUCAAUUUAGGUUUGUUUUUUUUUUUUAUUUUAUCCUAGCCCUUUAAGCUCCUAGGAAUUUUAGAUGUUGAAAACAUUCCCUGUGCACGGGACUCAAUACUCUAUGGUUCUUUAGGAUCUGUUGUGGCUGGCUUUGGACAUUUUUUGUUAACUAGCAGAAUUAGAAGAUCAUGUGAUGUUGGAGUAGGAGGAUUUAUCUUGGUGACUUUAGGAUGCUGGUUCCAUUGUAGGUAUAAUUAUGCAAAGCUAAGAAUCCAGGAAAGAAUUGCCAGAGAAGGAAUUAAAAAUAAGAUUUUAUAUGAAAGUACCCACCUUGAUCCUGAAAGAAAACAAACCAAUGGCAACAGCAGCAACUGAGCCGAGUCUUGCGCACAGAAAACCCAAAGACAACUCACUGUAGUGUGAACAAAGCUGAGACCAGCCGGUAAAUCGUUGUCUGUACCACAAGGCUUUCAAUCAAGUCAAUAAAGU